CCAGGAAGUAAAUCAAGGAACAAACUAAUCAAACAAAACUUGAGCAAUUCUAGAAUCUGGACGAAGUAAUAUAUUGUAUAAAAGGAUCAAAGUUCGUGAUGACUUCGUUUGGUUUCCUGAAUCUGUUUGGCCUCAUUUGCCUGAUAUUUCCAUGUCAAGGAGUUAUCUAUCCCCCAACCAGUGGAAACAGCUUGACAUUCCCACCAGGAUCAACUGGAAAAAUAGAGUGGUCAUUUGACGACAACAUAUCUGAUGUGUUUUCACGAUCUUGGACUUUCACAAGUACAGACGGUUCCGUCAAUAGAAAAGUGAUUGCUACUGUAAGUGAUGAUGAUAAUCCUAAGAUACGCGUCAGUUUUCCUGUGUUUGCAGUGGAAAAACCAGCCACG